GGGAACGUUCAGUUCAUUUAUUUAUAAAAAUGGAAAGGAUCCUAAAAUAAAUUCAUAUUGUAAAUGAUUUCGUCGCAUACAACAUUCAGAGGCAUGAGAAGGACAGAAGAGAAAAGUAAUGGCUUUGAGAACACACCACUGAAAUGUUAUGGUCAGGUUCUGGGACCUCAAGUGGAGCUGGUGGAUGAGCCCAUCAUUGUCUCUAUGAUACAGGAAACGUUUGGGUAUCAGCUGAUAUGAAAGGAGAAAGGAACAUCUGAACCACGUUUCUAGGAACCAAACAUGAAGGGAGGAGGAUAAUGCAAACCAAACAAGGACACAUGGACCUGGCACAGCAGGACAUGGGCAGACUGGAGAGGUGGGCUGGGUGGCAGAUGGGUGCUGCAAGCAACAAGCCCAAGACACCAUGUUCUCUCGUUGUGACGUGCUAAAAUAGAGGAAUAUCAGUAUAAACCCCCCUAUGGAAAUAGUAUUCCAGAACAAAAAGAAAUAGAGACCCCAUACAAGGACUGACCCUAGCACAGCUACAGCAGGGUGGGAUUCUCUGCAGUCGCUUUGAAUCAAGAUGUGAAAGCAGCAAGAAGCAGAGCCCAAAUAUUCAGAACACAUAGUCUCUUAAAGCUUCUUUGGCACAGGACAGACAACGCAACUCUGAUGCAUCAGAAAUCUAAUGAA